UGAGACAGAGAUCCACUUCAUCCUUCCAACAGGCAAGCAAGUCCAGUGGAAUUGUACCCUUCCAGUGUCCUACUGCAAAGCAGACCUUGAUGAAUCUUCG